rnacentral:misc_RNA from 1 species
UUUUUCACAUCAAUGGUGAGGUCAAUGGCAAAACCUUCAUCUUCAAACUUAUCCCAGUCUUCAUCCCAAACAGCUGCGCCUUCUUGUAUACCAGGUUGCCAACCUUAAGAAUCACCAAAUAUGAAAUUGGUAAAUCAAUUUGUUUAGGACAAGGUGAAAACUGAAAACUAGAACCAUGAUUCUUCAAGUACAAAACAAUUGUCUUAGACGCUCAAUGCACAACACAAGGCUUCCCACAUAGCUGGCCUGUGCCAUUAAAAAUAAAUAAGAUACUUAAACCACUGAAAGCAAACUUAGCUCAUCUACAAGGUACUGCAAGAUUGAACUGCUAUAGAUAUUGCAUAUUGCUGCAAACCCUUUUCUUUGAGUGGGAAAGAUUUGUUAAAAUGUAAGGCAGAACAAAAGCGCCAUGUAUAACAGGUUUCAAGAACUCAAAAGUCAAAACAGUAAGGGAAGUAUUCAGAGACACAUGCCAAUUGCAUACCACAAUUAUAAUAAUUGGAUUGUUGAAUAUAGGUUUCAGCCAUGACAAAUUGUCAAUAGGGAAGAAUUGUGUCAAAACUUUAAAAAACAAUUGAAGGGAAUGAAAAUAAAGU